GCCAGUUCUGCUGCCCCAUUUUGGGCGUUAGAGCGUUCCGCGGACGAUUCCAAAGCUGAGACUCGGUCUUGCAGGGCUGAGACAUCCUGGCAUAUUUCAGUCACUUCCGCUUUGAUAGUCUGCUUCAGCGAGGUCCCCAGCCCAUCAGCAUCGGCUUUAGUGAACAUGGAGGUGGUGAUUGCCCGGAGAUCUCUCAUGAUUUGCUCCAUUUUGGUAAGUGUGCACCCUGCUUGGGCUUCUGAGGCCACCGGGUACUGUGGCCCUGAUUCCUCAUCCACGUGGUGAGAGGCAGCGGUGCCUUUGUGGUUGGGGGGUACCCACUCUGUUGGUCUGACCCAUGGGACCUGAAUGAAGGCACUUUUAGCAGACUACUUGGUUGGAGCAUUCGAGCUAAGUGUCCAUCUUUCCCGAGCACCAG